GAUGAACGCUGGCGGCGUGCUUAACACAUGCAAGUCGAGCGAAGCACUUAUGAAGAUUCUUCGGAUGAAUCAUUUGUGACUGAGCGGCGGACGGGUGAGUAACGCGUGAGUAACCUGCCUUAUACAGGGGAAUAACAGUUAGAAAUGACUGCUAAUGCCGCAUAAGCGCACAGGACCGCAUGGUCCGGUGUGAAAAACUCCGGUGGUAUGAGAUGGACUCGCGUCUGAUUAGCUGGUUGGUGAGGUAACGGCCCACCAAGGCGACGAUCAGUAGCCGGCCUGAGAGGGUGAACGGCCACAUUGGGACUGAGACACGGCCCAAACUCCUACGGGAGGCAGCAGUGGGGAAUAUUGCACAAUGGGGGAAACCCUGAUGCAGCGACGCCGCGUGAGUGAAGAAGUAUUUCGGUAUGUAAAGCUCUAUCAGCAGGGAAGAAAAUGACGGUACCUGACUAAGAAGCCCCGGCUAACUACGUGCCAGCAGCCGCCGUAA
rnacentral:rRNA from 1 species